UGGGGAAUAUUGCACAAUGGGCGAAAGCCUGAUGCAGCAACGCCGCGUGAGUGAUGAAGGCCUUCGGGUUGUAAAGCUCUGUCUUUUGGGACGAUAAUGACGGUACCAAAGGAGGAAGCCACGGCUAACUACGUGCCAGCAGCCGCGGUAAUACGUAGGUGGCAAGCGUUGUCCGGAUUUACUGGGCGUAAAGGAUGCGUAGGCGGAUUUUUAAGUGAGAUGUGAAAACCCUAAGCUUAACUUGGGGACUGCAUUUCAUACUGGAAAUCUAGAGUGCGGGAGAGGAGAAUGGAAUUCCUAGUGUAGCGGUGAAAUGCGUAGAGAUUAGGAAGAACACCAGUGGCGAAGGCGAUUCUCUGGACCGUAACUGACGCUGAGGCAUGAAAGCGUGGGUAGCAAACAGGAUUAGAUACCCUGGUAGUCCACGCCGUAAACGAUGAGUACUAGGUGUAGGAGGUAUCGACCCCUUCUGUGCCGCAGUUAACACAAUAAGUACUCCGCCUGGGAAGUACGAUCGCAAGAUUAAAACUUAAAUGAAUUGACGGGGGUCAUAGCUG
rnacentral:rRNA from 1 species